AAAAGAAAAGAAAAGAAAAGAAAAGAAAAGAAAAGAAAAGAAAAGAAAAGAAAAGAAAAGAAAAGAAAAGAAAAGAAAAGAAAAGAAAAGAAAAGAAAAGAAAAGAAAAGAGAAAAAAAAGAGAAGAAGAGAGGACCUUCACCAGAGUUUUCAUUCCUUUAAUAAUACUUCAAAGAGGCUGCCUAACUGCUGUCCCGAGAAGAGGAUGCGCGGCACCAAACGGACCGCCGAUCCAACUUCCUCGCAGACAAGGCGCAACCACCCGAAAGUCACGGCCAGCAUCUCCUUUUCAGCGAAGGCAACCGCUGCUGGAAACGGAGAAAGCUCUUCUGAAAGGCAACAUCUCGACCUGGGAAGCACCUUUCGGAUUCCUGCUUCGUUACUCGCUCCAUUCUUUCGCAGCUAGAGAUGACACCGAAGUUGGGGGUUAUUUUUUCGCUCUCCUCCCGGACCGGACUGCUGCAAACCAAGCAGUUAGGCUGGAAGAGAGAUCUGCGUUCAAAGCCUCCCCAGUUUCUCAGUUGUUGCCAGACUAGAUACACCUCCGUGAGGCAAAGAGAGAUGGACACAUGCCGUGUCUCGGCGUGUAUCGGGGAGAGAGGCAUGUCAGAGGCGCUUUGCCCUCGACUGCUCGACUAUGCGGGCAAAGGAGGCUCUUUUCGGAGGGUUUUCGCUGCGGUACUGAAUGAUUACGAAACACUCACUCUCGGAUUUUUUUCUUCUCUUUUAGAUGGUCAAAAUUAACUGUAAAUCGGGUAAAGCAGUCAAUGAAACGGUUAUCCCCAAACAAGUUUCUGCUGCUUCGCGAGCGACCUAGGGUAUACACCAUCGGCUAUACAGGGGCAAUUAACUGUAUCAGACAUUUAAGAAAAUGUGGGAAAUAUUAAACUCCUAAUUCCCAUCAUUGCAAAUAAUUUUCAUGAAGGGAACUUCUGAAAGAUUUUUUUUCCUCUCUUACACUUUCCAGUCUAUUUUUUAACCCCUGAAUGAUUUACUACGUAAGUAAUUUUAGAGGAUACAGUUUACAGCUUGAGUUAUUAGACUGAACACCUCUGGCUGACACCACAACACCUUUUUUUUCUGCCUGCAGCUGUGAGUCACAACCCCAUUUUCAUACCAAACUGCUGCGCAUUCCUUUACAAUAUAGACUUCCUUCUUGAAAAGAUCAAACACGUUGCAGCCAACGUGCUUAUUUUAAAAUACAGGAAAAUUAAAACUAAACAUGGACUUAAAAGAAGAAAACCCAAAUGCAUCCUUUCUUUCUCUGUUGUCUCUCCUAUUAAAAUAAAUUAAAAUAAAAUUAGGAGGGAACGACGUAGACUGCUCCAACAAAAUAAUACAGUGACAGAGCCAAAACAGUUGAUUUCGACUGGAACAGAAACGGAUCCUUCUGUUUGCUGUUAUUUAUUUAUGUAUUAUUGUGGCUAUGGUUUUAAUUAUAUGUGGGAAUGUCAGGCCAAGAUGCUGUAACCAUAGCCUCCCUUUAACACACUUUUCCUAUUUGUUUAGUGCCAGAGCUACAAGGCAAGAACAGGCACCAAAAGCAAAAUUGUUUCAAUAUUCUGUUUAAGAGCUUACAACAGGGAAUCCCAGAAGUACAGGAAAACCUGUAGGCCUGCUCCGUGGAGGUGCAUGGCAGUACCAGGCCGAUUUUGUGCUCCUCGGCAGGUUUCGACGUGCAGGAAGGGAGCGGAGGGGGAGAAAUUGAGGGAGGUAGAGAUGCCCGGAGUAAUUUUUACCCAGUAAAGGGGUAUCUUGAAAGCCUCCUUGCUGUUCGGUGACACAGAUUUUGGGAUGCUUCUUAGUUUUGAGUAGGGUAAAGGUAGACUUAAUCUCUACUCCUCCCGGUAACCUACUGACUACUCCUCCCCUGGGGCUUGAGAUAGGGGCUUUGCUGUAAGUCCUUCUCCUUCCAUCCCCUGUUUUUUUGGUUGUUGUUUUUUUUUCCCCCGGUGGAGUUCGUAUUGCCCGCUCCUUCACCAGUCUUUCCCCACGUCAUCGGAGUGAUUGGUCAGGCGGGGGAAGCAGGAUGUACCUGCCCGCAUUUAUUUAUCUUGGGUACUCGUUUCGAAUAAAAGAUUACUUUAGAGAACAAAGAAAAAAAA